UGGGGAACUUUGGACAAUGGGCGCAAGCCUGAUCCAGCAAUGCCGCGUGCAGGAUGAAGGCCUUCGGGUUGUAAACUGCUUUUGUACGGAACGAAAAGGCUCUGGUUAAUACCUGGGGCUCAUGACGGUACCAUAAGAAUAAGCACCGGCUAACUACGUGCCAGCAGCCGCGGUAAUACGUAGGGUGCAAGCGUUAAUCGGAAUUACUGGGCGUAAAGCGUGCGCAGGCGGUUAUGUAAGACAGAUGUGAAAUCCCCGGGCUCAACCUGGGACCUGCAUUUGUGACUGCAUAGCUAGAGUAAGGCAGAGGGGGAUGGAAUUCCGCGUGUAGCAGUGAAAUGCGUAGAUAUGCGGAGGAACGCCGAUGGCGAAGGCAAUCCCCUGGGCCUGUACUGACGCUCAUGCACGAAAGCGUGGGGAGCAAACA
rnacentral:rRNA from 1 species